rnacentral:rRNA from 1 species
ACGAACGCUGGCGGCGUGCUUAACACAUGCAAGUCGAACGGAAAGGCCUUUUCGGAGGUACUCGAGUGGCGAACGGGUGAGUAACACGUGGGUGAUCUGCCCUGCACUCUGGGAUAAGCCUGGGAAACUGGGUCUAAUACCGGAUAGGACCGCACUUUAGUGUGUGUGGUGGAAAGUUUUUUCGGUGUAGGAUGAGCCCGCGGCCUAUCAGCUUGUUGGUGGGGUAAUGGCCUACCAAGGCGGCGACGGGUAGCCGGACUGAGAGGUUGGUCGGCCACAUUGGGACUGAGAUACGGCCCAGACUCCUACGGGAGGCAGCAGUGGGGAAUAUUGCACAAUGGGCGCAAGCCUGAUGCAGCGACGCUGCGUGGGGGAUGACGGCCUUCGGGUUGUAAACUCCUUUCGCCAGGGACGAAGCGUUUUGUGACAGUACCUGGAGAAGAAGCACCGGCUAACUACGUG